CUGGUCUAGCAAUCCAAUUUGGAAGCGGUCCAGUAAACAGGUUUCCAGUUAAGUAUCUAAGUAAAACAGUAAGAUAAGAUUAAUGAAGACUAGAUUAUAGAUUAAUGAUAUCAAGAAAGAACUUUCUCCAAUGUUCUCAUCUUUCUCCUUAUCUCCACUUAUAGAUUUGCCUAUUUUCUAAUCAUUCUCAAUUUAGAUUUUCAGCGAGAGGCAGUGACAUGAUUAUCUCAUGGUGAUUUUAGAAUUAUAUAUAAAUUUAUUGGUCCGUAGUUUAAGAACAAAAAUAAAUAAAAUGUAUGCACAUAGACAUAGUUCUAGAUUGCAGUUCGCAACUGCAAUAGGGUUUUAGAGGUUUCUGCAAUGGCAUCUAUUAGAGAUAUAGAUUAGUAGCAUAUUAGUCCUAGUAGAGAGUAGUAUAAAUAACUUCUAACCACCCCAUUAGAGGGACUUUUCUCAUUUUGUAAUAUUCCAUUUCCAUCAAUAGAAAGAGUUUCUUAGUUUUCUCUCCUUCCUUCCAUGGAUGCCAUGCUUCCUAACAGCAUCACACUGCACUUGUGGCCGUAUUUUCCUGCACUCAUAUUUAUGUUCUUCAGGCCACCCAAGGUGUUCGGAAUCGGUCCAGUUAAUUUGUUAA
rnacentral:lncRNA from 1 species